rnacentral:rRNA from 1 species
UACGUAGGUGGCGAGCGUUGUCCGGAUUUACUGGGCGUAAAGGGCGUGCAGGCGGUUUGUUAAGUGCAGGGUGAAAGCUCCCGGCUCAACUGGGAGAGGUCCUUGCAUACUGGCGAACUCGAGGGAGGCAGAGGAAAGUGGAAUUCCCGGUGUAGUGGUGAAAUGCGCAGAUAUCGGGAAGAACACCCGUGGCUAAGGCGGCUCUCUGGGACGGUACUGACGCUGAGACGCGAAAGCGUGGGGAGCGAACAGG